rnacentral:rRNA from 1 species
GAGAUCGGGAUAACACCUGGAAACAGAUGCUAAUACCGGAUAAUAACAGAUGAUGCCUAUCAACUGUUUAAAAGAUGGUUCUGCUAUCACUCUUGGAUGGACCUGCGGUGCAUUAGCUAGUUGGUAGGGUAACGGCCUACCAAGGCGAUGAUGCAUAGCCGAGUUGAGAGACUGAUCGGCCACAUUGGGACUGAGACACGGCCCAAACUCCUACGGGAGGCAGCAGCC